UACGUAGGGUGCGAGCGUUGUCCGGAAUUAUUGGGCGUAAAGCGCUUGUAGGCGGUUUGUCGCGUCUGCCGUGAAAAUCCGGGGCUCAACCCCGGACUUGCGGUGGGUACGGGCAGACUAGAGUGUGGUAGGGGAGACUGGAAUUCCUGGUGUAGCGGUGAAAUGCGCAGAUAUCAGGAGGAACACCGGUGGCGAAGGCGGGUCUCUGGGCCGUAACUGACGCUGAGGAGCGAAAGCGUGGGGAGCGAACAGG
rnacentral:rRNA from 1 species